CAGCGGCUGCCGCUGCUGCAGCUGCUGCCGCCGCCGCUGCGGCCGCUGCCUGCUGCUGUUGUUGCUGCUGCUGCUGCUGUUGCUG
rnacentral:sRNA from 1 species